GUCCACGCCGUAAACGUUGGGCACUAGGUGUGGGUCUCAACCAACGAGAUCCGCGCCGUCGCUAACGCAUUAAGUGCCCCGCCUGGGGAGUACGGCCGCAAGGCUAAAACUCAAAGGAAUUGACGGGGCCCGCACAAGCAGCGGAGCGUGUUGCUUAAUUCGAUGCAACGCGAAGAACCUUACCUGGGUUUGACAUGUAGGGAAAAGCUCUAGAGAUAGGGUGUCCUUCGGGCCGUUACACAGGUGGUGCAUGGCUGUCGU
rnacentral:rRNA from 1 species